AGGAGGAUCCCUGACAACUUCGACAGCCAUCCCCUCACACCCCUCAAGGAAGAGGGCGUGGGGGGCUCUCCUGGCUCACAAAGCAGGGCUUCCAAAGGCCUGGGAAACACCGGGGUUCUGGGCUUUGGAAGAAAAUAGCAUUUCAAGGAGGCAGGCCUCAGGCACUCACGGUGUAUGGGAAGGCGUGUCCCCGCAGGUGGGGGGGCUGAUGCGGUCCCAGGACUCUGAGGUUUAGAAGCCGGUGCCCCCUCCCAAACUUCCAAAGUCAUGAGUCAGGCCCCGGAGACCCUGCCCCUCGCCUCUGACGGAUAGAGGCUUCAGGCAUGGAUUAUCGGCUCCCUACCAGAAGGCGCAGAGGGGAGCCCCAAGGCAGCCUCCCCCCACCCCCCACAGACUUCAGCCACGUCUAGGGAAAUAACCAAAAGGCCCCUCCUUUCCUAAACGAGGAAACAGCACGAGGCGCCUGGGACAUUUCCGGGGCAGGGGAUCAGAAGGACACUCACCCGCAUGGCCUGGCCCGGAGCAGCCCAGAGUGAGGAGUCUCCUCUUGAUGCUGCUCCGUUAGCAGCUCAAAAUAGCACUGGCAGCAGCCCCGCCCCUGUUCCCCUCCCUCUCCCCCGGCCCCUCCCGUCCAGAGCUGCCCAGCCCUGGCCAGAGCCAGUCGGAGAGAAGCAGAGGCCUGGAGGACUGCGGGUACCAGGCAUUACAGAGGCAGCACACACUGUGAGCAGCCCUGCCAAGCUCUUUCGCCAGGAACUACACUCAGCAUCUCAGCCUAGUCACCAUAACUUGAACUGAAUCUGUAGCUGCACUUAUCGUGAUUUACUUCAUGCAUCCAUUAGCAAAAUGUGCCCUAAGGUAACUGCUGCUUCACGUUCCACCAUUUUGGCUUCAUAGGAAGCCUCUACUCUCAGAUUAGAGGUGCCGGAAGUAGGGGCUGUAGUUGAAUUUAUUGACGCUUAAUGCAUAUAUGCCAUGACUAAAUUGAUGUUUUCAUGGUAAUCUAUUUGUAUCAUAUAUUUAAGCCUUCUCUCCCUGGAGAACAGGGACCAUUUCUUACUUCUUUUAGAUACAUCCCACUCCCCAGCACCAGGCACCCAGUAGGUGCUCAAUAUAUAUCAGUAAGACUUAACUACUGAUCCGAAAGGUACAUGUGCAAUUAGCCAGAUAGAAGAGAGCAGGGAACAAAGGAAUAUCCAGAUAGAGUAGCAACUUGAACUACUUUGCUCUCCCACAUCGGUAGCGCUGGGUGAGUGAAAGCUCCUUGGCUCUGUUUCUGGCAGUAGGCAGGCAAAGCAGCUAAGCAGAGCUAGGGGCAGGCUAGACAGGAGGCUUGGAGUUACUAGGCAACUAGGGAUGGCCUGUAAUACCUCAAGGUGAACACUGUGGGGAAGCACAAUGCCUGUUUUGGGGUUUUGUGUGUUUGUUUCAUCCUCUUACCACUAGACUGUGAGCUUCUUGAGGCUGGUUUAGAGGUAGAUGGUUGGUAAAACAAUGAGAAUGAGGUUCUAAUUUUACAUUUUAACUAAAGAAUACUCCUCUGACUCCAUUUGCUUUUCUAGUUCCCUUUUAAAUCAAAACUAAAAAAAAAAGUCUGUAAGCACUAACUCCUUAAAUGGAAACUGAUUGUA